UACGAAGGGGGCUAGCGUUGCUCGGAUUGACUGGGCGUAAAGGGCGCGUAGGCGGUUUGCAUAGUCAGACGUGAAAUCCCUCGGCUUAACCGGGGAACUGCGUCUGAUACUGGACGGCUCGAGUUCGGGAGAGGGAUGCGGAAUUCCAGGUGUAGCGGUGAAAUGCGUAGAUAUCUGGAGGAACACCGGUGGCGAAGGCGGCAUCCUGGACCGACACUGACGCUGAUGAGCGAAAAGCCAGGGGAGCAAACGGG
rnacentral:rRNA from 1 species